rnacentral:rRNA from 1 species
GAUGAACGCUGGCGGCGUGCCUAAUACAUGCAAGUCGAGCGAACGGACGAGAAGCUUGCUUCUCUGAUGUUAGCGGCGGACGGGUGAGUAACACGUGGAUAACCUACCUAUAAGACUGGGCUAACUUCGGGAAACCGGAUCUAAUACCGGAUAAUAUUUUGAACCGCUUGGUUCAAAAGUGAAAGACGGUCUUGCUGUCACUUAUAGAUGGAUCCGCGCUGCAUUAGCUAGUUGGUAAGGUAACGGCUUACCAAGGCAACGAUGCAUACCCGACCUGAGAGGGUGAUCGGCCACACUGGAGGUGAGACACAGUCCAGACACCUGCGGGGGGAAGCAGUAGGGAAUCUUCCGCAAUGGGGGAAAGGGUGACGGAGCAAAGCGGCGUGAGUGAUGAAGGUCUCAGGAUCGUAAAACUCUGUUAUUAGGGAAGAACAUAUGUGUAUGUAACUGUGAACAUCUUGACGGUACCCGAACAGAAAGCCCCGGCUAACUACGUG